rnacentral:tRNA from 1 species
AGUUAAUGUAUGCAAAACCUGGAAUUGCAAAAGACCUAAACCCUUUUAAUAGAGAUUCAAAUUCUCUCAUUAACU